rnacentral:rRNA from 1 species
AUUGAACGCUGACGGCAGGCCUCACACAUGCCAGUCGAACGAGUGGCGGACGGGUGAGUAAUGUCUGGGAAACUGACUGAUGGAGGGGGAUAACUACUGGAACCGGUAGCUAAUACCGCAUACCUUCAGAUGUGCCCAGCUGGGAUUAGCUAGUUGGUGGGGUAACGGCUCAACAAGGCGACGAUCCCUAGCUGGUCUUCGAGGAUGACCAGCAACAAUGUAAUGGAGACACGGUCCAGACUCCUACGUGAGGCAGCAGUGGGGAAGAUUGUACAAUGGGCGCAAGCCUGUUGCAGCCAUGCCGCUGGUAUGAAGAAGGCCUUCGGGUUGUAAAGUACUUUCAGCGGGGAGGCGUGACCCGCAGAAGAAGCACCGGCUAACUCCGUGCCAGCAGCCGCGGUAAUAC